rnacentral:rRNA from 1 species
UACGUAGGGUGCAAGCGUUAAUCGGAAUUACUGGGCGUAAAGCGUGCGCAGGCGGUUAUAUAAGACAGAUGUUAAAUCCCCGGGCUCAACCUGGGAACUGCAUUUGUGACUGUAUAGCUAGAGUACGGUAGAGGGGGAUGGAAUUCCGCGUGUAGCAGUGAAAUGCGUAGAUAUGCGGAGGAACACCGAUGGCGAAGGCAAUCCCCUGGACCUGUACUGACGCUCAUGCACGAAAGCGUGGGGAGCAAACAGG